rnacentral:rRNA from 1 species
AAAGUCGAGCGGUAAGAGGGAGCAAUCCUUCCUAGAGCGGCGGACUGGUGAGUAACACGUGGGUAACCUACCCUCCAGGAUGGGGAUAGCCGCUAGAAAUAGCGGGUAAUACCGAAUGUGAUUGCGCUGCGGUGGCGGCGCAAAGAAAGGAGCGUCUGCUCCGCCUGAGGAUGGGCCCGCGCCCCAUUAGCUGGUUGGUGAGGUAAAGGCCCACCAAGGCAUCGAUGGGUAGCCGGCCUGAGAGGGUGAACGGCCACAUUGGGACUGAGAUACGGCCCAAACUCCUACGGGAGGCAGCAGCUAAGAAUAUUCCGCAAUGGACGGAAGUCUGACGGAGCGACGCCGCGUGGAUGACGAAGGCCGAAAGGUUGUAAAAUCCUUUUGCCGCUGAAGAAUAAUCCGGUAGGAAAUGACCGGGAGAUGACGUUAGGCGGCGAAUAAGCCCCGGCUAAUUACGUGCCAGCAGCCGCGGUAACACGUAAGGGGCGAGCGUUGUUCGGAAUUAUUGGGCGUAAAGGGCGCGUAGGCGGUUAAAUAAGUCCGGCGUGAAAGGCCGGGGCUCAACCCCGGGACUGCGCUGGAAACUAUUAAACUAGAGUCAUGGAGGGGGAGUUGGAAUUCCUAGUGUAGGGGUGAAAUCUAUAGAUAUUAGGAAGAACACCGGUGGCGAAGGCGAACUUCUAGCCAAUGACUGACGCUGAGGCGCGAAAGCG